AUUGAACGCUGGCGGCAUGCCUUACACAUGCAAGUCGAACGGUAACGCGGGGCAACCUGGCGACGAGUGGCGAACGGGUGAGUAAAGUAUCGGAACGUGCCCAAUAGUGGGGGAUAGCCCGGCGAAAGCCGGAUUAAUACCGCAUGAGACCUGAGGGUGAAAGCGGGGGACUCGCAAGAGCCUCGCGCUGUUGGAGCGGCCGAUAUCAGAUUAGGUAGUUGGUGGGGUAAAGGCCUACCAAGCCGACGAUCUGUAGCUGGUCUGAGAGGACGACCAGCCACACUGGGACUGAGACGACCGGCCAGACUCCGUACGGGAGGCAGCAGGUAGGGGUAAUUUUGGAACAAGU
rnacentral:rRNA from 1 species